CGCAUGGUAGAGGAGCGUUCUGUAAGCUGUUGAAGGUAGAUUGAGAAGUCUGCUGGAGGUAUCAGAAGCGCGAAUGCUGACAUGAGUAACGAUAAAGGGGGUGAAAAACCCCCUCGCCGAAAGACCAAGGUUUCCUAUCCCAUGUUAAUCAGGGUAGGGUUAGUCGGCCCCUAAGGCAAGGCAGAAAUGCGUAGUCGAUGGGAAAAAGGUUAAUAUUCCUUUACUUCUUAUUAUUGCGAUGGAGGGACGGAGUAGGCUAGAUCAGACGGGUGUUGGUUGUCCCGAUCUAAGCGUGUAGGGGGUUUUCUUAGGUAAAUCCGGGAGAACAUUACUCUGAGACGUGAUGGCGAGGCUCUCUUUUGAGCCGAGUGGUCGAUGCCAUGCUUCCAAGAAAAGCUUCUAAGCUUCAGAUAAUAAGAAACCGUACUCCAAACCGACACAGGUGGUCAGGUAGAGAAUACCAAGGCGCUUGAGACAACUCUGGUGAAGGAACUAGGCAAAAUGGCACCGUAACUUCGGGAGAAGGUGCGCUGUCAGUGGUGAUCGGACUCGCUCCGUAAGCUACUGACAGCCGAAGUGACCAGGCCGCUGCGACUGUUUAUUAAAAACACAGCACUUUGCAAACACGUAAGUGGACGUAUAAGGUGUGACGCCUGCCCGGUGCCGGAAGGUUAAUUGAUGGGGUUAGUCUUUGGACGAAGCUCUUGAUCGAAGCCCCGGUAAACGGCGGCCGUAACUAUAACGGUCCUAAGGUAGCGAAAUUCCUUGUCGGGUAAGUUCCGACCUGCACGAAUGGCGUAACGAUGGCGGCGCUGUCUCCACCAGAGACUCAGUGAAAUUGAAUUUGCGGUCAAGAUGCCGUAUACCCGCACCUAGACGGAAAGACCCCGUGAACCUUUACUAUAGCUUGGCACUGAACUUUGAACCUGUCUGUGUAGGAUAGGUGGGAGGCUUUGAAGCGUGAUCGCUAGAUUGCGUCGAGCCAUCCUUGAAAUACCACCCUGGUAUGUUUGAGGUUCUAACCUAGGUCCGUUAUCCGGAUCGGGGACAGUGUCUGGUGGGUAGUUUGACUGGGGCGGUCUCCUCCCAAAGAGUAACGGAGGAGCACGAAGGUACCCUCAGCAUGGUCGGAAAUCAUGCUAUGAGUGCAAUGGCAUAAGGGUGCUUGACUGCGAGACUGACAAGUCGAGCAGGUACGAAAGUAGGUCAUAGUGAUCCGGUGGUUCUGUAUGGAAGGGCCAUCGCUCAACGGAUAAAAGGUACUCCGGGGAUAACAGGCUGAUACCGCCCAAGAGUUCACAUCGACGGCGGUGUUUGGCACCUCGAUGUCGGCUCAUCACAUCCUGGGGCUGAAGCCGGUCCCAAGGGUAUGGCUGUUCGCCAUUUAAAGUGGUACGCGAGCUGGGUUUAGAACGUCGUGAGACAGUUCGGUCCCUAUCUGGUGUGGGCGUUGGAGAUUUGAGGAGAGCUGCUUCUAGUACGAGAGGACCGAAGUGGACAGACCUCUGGUGUUCGGGUUGUCAUGCCAAUGGCAUUGCCCGGUAGCUAUGUUUGGACAGGAUAACCGCUGAAAGCAUCUAAGCGGGAAGCCCCCUCCAAGAUUAGAUCUCCCUGGGACUUUAAGUCCCCUUAAGGGUCGUUCAAGACUAGGACGUUGAUAGGCUGGAUGUGUAAGCGCUGUGAGGCGUUGAGCUAACCAGUACUAAUG
rnacentral:rRNA from 1 species